UACGUAGGGUGCGAGCGUUGUCCGGAAUUAUUGGGCGUAAAGAGCUUGUAGGCGGUUUGUCGCGUCUGCUGUGAAAUCCUGGGGCUUAACCCCGGGCGUGCAGUGGAUACGGGCUGGCUAGAGGCAGGCAGGGGGAGAACGGAAUUCCCGGUGUAGCGGUGAAAUGCGCAGAUAUCGGGAGGAACACCGGUGGCGAAGGCGGUUCUCUGGGCCUGUACUGACGCUGAGGAGCGAAAGCGUGGGGAGCGAACAGG
rnacentral:rRNA from 1 species